CGGCGCCCUCCUCCCCCACAGAUUUAGUUGCCUUCCUGUUAUUGCAUUGGUACAGCCCGCCUGAUGUCCUCUUCUUGCUCUGUUUUCAGUGAUCUCCGCGGUGUCCGGGCUCGAGCUCUCGCUGGACAAUAAGCAGCAUGAAUUGUUGUUUGGCCGGAAUCGGAGACGAACAUGGCGGAGGCGAGCAGCAAGAAGAAGCAGCCCCCAGGUGCUCCUGGGCUUGACAGUUCAAGAUCAAGGACAUUUCACAGGUGGCGUCAGUAGACGGCGUUCACUCCGAUUACCGGCCGCUGCAAUAUAUGCCUGCGUUGGGCGUGGUCGGUGGCUGGUAUGCAAUACUAGCCAUGACCGUCUCGGUUGUUCCAUGUGACAGUAUUCUUGGUCUAUAUUCUUGUAUUCAGGAUUAUUGUAUAUAUUCUUGUGUAUAUUCAAACAAUUGAAAAUGCGUCUAAUGGGUACACCUAGUUUUUGUGUA